rnacentral:lncRNA from 1 species
UACCAAAUUUUCAAUUUUGAUUUCUCCCUAUCAGAUUUUUUCCGAAAUCGCCAAUUCCGAUCCAAUUCGUCCGAUUUUCCACCCUAACCCUAAUAUUAGCAAACUAUCUUAAAAAAACACUAUUUAGGGGUUCUGUGCUAGAAAAAAUAUCAUCAUAGGGGUUUUUCAGCAAUUCAGUAUAAUGCAGGGGAACUAAAUGCAAUAUAUCUGACUUUAUCUUCCGAAAUUAAUUAACACCGUAUAUAUAUACAGGAUAUAUUCGUCGCCGGAACGGACACCGGAGCAGCAACGAUAAUUUGGACGAUGACCGCCCUAAUGCAAAAUCCAAAAUCAAUGAAGAAAUUGCAGAACGAAAUCAGAGAUUCAAUUGGGGGAAAAGGCAGAGUAGACGAAGACGAUCUCCACAAUCUCCCAUACCUAAAAGCAACGGUGAAAGAGGCGCUGCGGCUGUACCCACCGGCGCCACUGCUAAUCCCGAGAGAAACAAUCGAAGAAUGCGAGAUCGAGGGCCACG